GCAUUGGUAGUUCUAUGGUAGAAUUCUUGCCUUCCGUGCAGGAGAUCUGGGUUUGAUUCCUAGCCAGUGCA
rnacentral:tRNA from 1 species